CUUGGUCAUUUAGAGGAAGUAAAAGUCGUAACAAGGUUUCCGUAGGUGAACCUGCGGAAGGAUCAUUACUGGGUAAAGGCUUCGUGCCUCCAACCCCACCCUUUGUAACCGCGGCCCGGAUUCGGCGCCUGGACGGGGGGAUCCCUCUGUUCGCGGAGGCCCCUCGCCUGCCGGAAUCAGCCAACACUGCCUCAAAAAUUGAAGUCUGAGAACAAGUUAAUUAAACAAAACUUUCAACAACGGAUCUCUUGGUUCUGGCAACGAUGAAGAACGCAGCGAAAUGCGAUAAGUAAUGUGAAUUGCAGAAUUCAGUGAAUCAUCGAAUCUUUGAACGCACAUUGCGCCCCCUGGUAUUCCGGGGGGCACACCUGUUCGAGCGCCAUUUUCACCAUCGAGCCCUGCUCGGAGAUGGGCCUCGUCCUCGCGGACGGGCCCGAAACCCGUGGGCGCCAUUGUCUGGCCCUGAGCGUAGCAAGAGAAAUCCCUCGCUCGGUGGACCGUCCAGUGGCCGCCCCGACCAUUUUUUACAAGGUUGGCCUCGGAUCAGGUGGGGAUACCCGCUGAACCUUAAGCAUAUCAAUAAGCGGAGGA
rnacentral:rRNA from 1 species